rnacentral:rRNA from 1 species
GAGAGGAUGACCAGCCACACUGGAACUGAGACACGGUCCAGACUCCUACGGGAGGCAGCAGUGGGGAAUAUUGCACAAUGGGCGCAAGCCUGAUGCAGCCAUGCCGCGUGUGUGAAGAAGGCCUUCGGGUUGUAAAGCACUUUCAGCGAGGAGGAAGGUGGUGAACUUAAUACGUUCACCAAUUGACGUUACUCGCAGAAGAAGCACCGGCUAACUCCGUGCCAGCAGCCGCGGUAAUACGGAGGGUGCAAGCGUUAAUCGGAAUUACUGGGCGUAAAGCGCACGCAGGCGGUUUGUUAAGUCAGAUGUGAAAUCCCCGGGCUCAACCUGGGAACUGCAUUUGAAACUGGCAAGCUA